CUAGAUAUGCAAAAUAACGUGCAAAAUAUCCUUCCGGAUAUUACCCUUAGUCACCAAUGAAACCUAAGGUUGAACAAGAGAACAUAUUACAGUUUAUCGAGCAAAACAUUUAAGGGAAACAAAGAAACCCGACUAAUUAGGAGUAAAACGUGUAAAGAUGACUUUCAAGUAAGAAGAGGGUUAUUUGAACCCCAGGAUGAAAAAUCAUGUUUUAAAAUGGAAAACCGGUCAUGGUAUUGGCCAAACAAAAGUAUACAAGUUCAAAUAGAAACCUAGCCCUCGAGCGAAAAUUUGGGCAGCACGCCCUUUGUGUUUACCUAAUUUUCCAGCCAUUUUGGCUUCAUUAUUUUUCCUCAACCACAACCCAACAUCACACAUAAGCAAUUCAAGUCAAGAGCCAUUCCAUAGGCUCACAAUAUCAUAAGAAUAAGAAUUACAACAAUCACAAGUGCAGAAAUUCAACUUAGCACAAGACAGAUUUGACGUACGAACGCGGAAAUAACAUAUCUGAAGCUACGCUUAUCGGAUUGAGACAAAACCUAUGCCGUUUCGAAGCAAAGACACAGAGCUACAACAUUCAUGAAGGUCACUUAGUCCAGUUACUAAUAUAACUUAGUCAAAUUCUCAAAUUACUAAACCAGAAACCAAUUCAUCGGCUGUUUAAACGUAGAACACUGUAAUGGACAUAUCUCAGAGUACACAAGUCCGAAUCAGGUGUUCUUAGAGGCAUUUGAAAGCUAAUUCAGAAUACUACAACUUUCAUGUUUUGGUAAAAAGCUAAAUCAGAAUGGAUCCUAGUCGAAAACGUGAUAAACUGGACUUAACUGAUCACACGGACUGCUUGGGAAAUACUUAAAACAGUAAGGGUAUUUUGGACUUUUCAUGUCCUACGUUGCUCCGAUUGAGCUGAAAUUUUGUAGGCACCUAUAAAAUACCAUUCUCUACAACUUUCCUUCUUUGACAUAAGGCCAAUUUGGCCUCUAACAUAGGGAUUCAAAUUCGGACAGAAUGUUGGGAAAAAUUUCCAGAUUCUGGAAUUUCUAGAUUUUAGUGGAACUUUCCUUAAUUUCUUGGUCUAAUCACUACCAAAGCCUCUCUUAUAACCUUAAUUGCAACAUAUAUACUUCAUACAACAAAUUGGGCAGAAAUUCAUCAAGCCCUAGUUCAUUAUAUAAAUUGGGGAAAACUUCCAAAACAAGAUAAUAUCCAUGAUUCCACCACAAAAUCAAGUUGCUAAGCUUAAUUUAACAAGAUUGAAAGUAAAACUUGGAGAGAUAAGCUUUCUUACCUUGACUAGAGUUCACUAAGACUAGCCCAAGCUUUCUCUUUCAAAAAUCACACCACAAGUCACUAACUAAUCACUCAAGGACAAGUUUAAUCGGUUUGUUUUGUUUGAUUUCUCACUUGGUUGUUGGAUUGAAGAUGAAAUGGAAUGUUUUCCCUUGUUGUUUUUCUUCUUGCUCCUCUCGGCCAGCAGC
rnacentral:lncRNA from 1 species